rnacentral:rRNA from 1 species
UACGAAGGGGGCUAGCGUUGCUCGGAAUUACUGGGCGUAAAGCGCACGUAGGCGGCUUGUUAAGUCAGGGGUGAAAUCCUGGAGCUCAACUCCAGAACUGCCUUUGAUACUGGCGAGCUUGAGUCCGGGAGAGGUGAGUGGAACUGCGAGUGUAGAGGUGAAAUUCGUAGAUAUUCGCAAGAACACCAGUGGCGAAGGCGGCUCACUGGCCCGGUACUGACGCUGAGGUGCGAAAGCGUGGGGAGCAAACAGG